rnacentral:rRNA from 1 species
GACGAACGCUGGCGGCGUGCCUAAUACAUGCAAGUAGAACGCACAGUUUAUACCGUAGCUUGCUACACCAUAGACUGUGAGUUGCGAACGGGUGAGUAGCGCGUAGGUAACCUGCCUGGUAGCGGGGGAUAACUAUUGGAAACGAUAGCUAAUACCGCAUAAUAUUAAUUAUUGCAUGAUAAUUGAUUGAAAGAUGCAACUGCAUCACUACCAGAUGGACCUGCGUUGUAUUAGCUAGUAGGUGAGGUAACGGCUCACCUAGGCGACGAUACAUAGCCGACCUGAGAGGGUGAUCGGCCACACUGGGACUGAGACACGGCCCAGACUCCUACGGGAGGCAGCAGUAGGGAAUCUUCGGCAAUGGACGAAAGUCUGACCGAGCAACGCCGCGUGAGUGAAGAAGGUUUUCGGAUCGUAAAGCUCUGUUGUAAGAGAAGAACGGGUGUGAGAGUGGAAAGUUCACACUGUGACGGUAUCUUACCAGAAAGGGACGGCUAACUACGUG